rnacentral:lncRNA from 1 species
CCUUGGUCGCUCCAUCGGCAGUUUGGAAGUGUGCACCAUAACUAACUCACAAAGAUGUGUGAUCAAAGAUGGGUGCCCAAAGGUUCUUUGUUGUUCACAGAACUAGCACAAGUCUGAAUCUCAUUUGCUUUGACCUGCCCAAUGAUAAUAUUCAACCCCCUAAGCACACAAAAAAGGAAGAUGACCCUACCGACAUUGAUAUCAAACACAUGAGAACAUGACUAAAUGAAUGAGUGAAUGCCAUUCAGUAGUUUGCCAAAGGAUUCAAACAAGAUCUCCUAAUAUGAAUGAGUGCAUCACUCCUGUUUCUCCAGAAGUGUCCUCCAAGUACACACAAUGUCCUCUCUAUAUCAUCAAAAUCUGCUCCCUCCUCCAUAUUCAGUGCAAACUGACAUUGCUCACCAGCCCACUCAGUAUGCAGAAACUGUUAAUGGUGUCAGGGUCAUUCUGAAUACUCUUUCCUCUCACAUUUGUUCAUGUAUUCCUCUUUAUGAGAGUCGCCCAAUGCCUUUGCGUUGGUGUUGAAUUCCUUGACUACUGCUAUGUUUGCUGGUGUAGGGUAAGCAGUUACAUUCUCCCAUUCUUUUCUUUCUAAUUCCUCUCCAAAUUGUGGGGCCAAGGAUGGUAUCCACCCCACUUUUCGCUCCAUCAAAAGUUUUCGGUCUUGGACUAUUAGGAAGUGUUGCUUAUGUCUACGAGAAAGGAACUUGUUAAAAUAGAAAGGUUUUGGCUCCUUUCUCUUGUUUUCCAUGGUCUUAACUCUUUUCCCUGAUGAGGAGGUCAUCCCUACAUCAAAAUAAUUCACAAAACCACAAGAAGUAUUAUCAAGUAUUAGUAUAUGAGCAUAAAAAACAAUCCAAAAUCACUCUUCUAAUCACCGCUAAGGGCAAAACAAGGGACCUUAGCGUCACCCACAACAAGAAACAUCUAACCAGACAACACACAAAUGGCCAACAACCAAGAAAACGCAAUCUGCAAAAAUCACGUUGAGUGCCCCUUAGAGGGUGCUCAGUGCCAGACAGUUCAAAUUCAAAAUAACCCUAGCUCGCCUUAAGCGCUACUCACAUGCAUUUUUUUCAUAGUUCCAGUCCUCAAUCAAGCAAUUUAAUCAGUCCAAACAAUGAUUAUUUCAACUAAUCAUGCAUAAACAUCAAAUUUCCUCAAGAAUCAUGCUUAGACAACCACAUUCAUUCAAAAUUAUGCUUUCAAAUGCCCUAGAAUGUAGAAUGCAUGUACAUACUUGGUUGAAAAUGCUAAAUGUGUGAAGAAUGCCAAAUGAAAUUGGGAUAUCAAACCCUAACAAUAGUGCUCUCAACAAACCCCAAACUUGGAUGGAAAGCUGGAGCAAAAUGGGUGGAGAAAGGGUUUUAUGGAGGAUGAAGGAGAAAAUGGAGAGAAAACCUUUGGAGAGUGCUUUGAAGUGGCUAGAAUGAGUGAAGGGUGAGAGUGACUGUUAGGGCGAGACCUAAGGUAAGGAACGUAUCUAAUGGGCCAACUCACGUUGAGCCCAAUUUAAUUAUAAAAGCCAUCUGUUUAAGAAAUCGCGCUCAGCGCCCCAAACUGGUGCUUAGCGAUGAAUGAGGCACGAACUCUCUCUUUUCUUGCUCACCCUAAGCGUUCUUAACCAAAUCACCUCAGCUUCAACUCUCAAUUUUUUCAAAUAUCAUGUAUUUUCCACUGACUUUACACACCCUCACUUAAUCAAUAUAUUUAAUCUCUCACACCACUCAAACAUUCAACAAUUAAGAACCUAUAAUGCAACUAGAACAUACAUAAAUUAAAACAAACAAAGAUAAAUUCAAACAACUGGGUUGCCUCCCAGGUAGCGCUUGUUUAACGUCACGAGUCUGACCCAUGGAUCCUCCAGCAUCCUUCAGUAGGCACCUAUCUUCUCACCAACACCUAUUAGUAGGUGUGUAAAACCAUAAUAUCCUUCAGUAGAUACUCUAUCACCUAGCAUCCAUCAGUAGAUGUUGUGCCAUAGUAGUCGCAUAACAAUGUUCCAAAGUUUUAAAUUACAUUACCAAAAUAAACAGUAAAUUAAAGAAAUCAAUGUUUUUAAAUCACAGUGGUGCCUCCCAGUAAGCGUUGUUUUAACAUCAUUAGCUUGACCCAGUAAAGCUCAAGUUCCAUCUUUAAUGUUGGUUUUUUUCUUGUUUUCAUCACACCAACUCAUCAAUUGCUUUCGGUCCACCUUCUUGACUUGUGUUGAAUACGGAGCUUCAAUCUUUAUCACUCCACUCUCUUUAAAAUCUUUCACAAGCCACGACUUGCUCUUGAAUCUUACAGGUGUGCCAAGUUUUAAUUGUGCAUCCACCAAGUCAUAAUGAACCAUCCUUCCUUUGUCGUCGUUUUCUUCUUCCCUAACUUGUGACAAGAAACAAUUUUUACCUUUGAUGACCUGCUUGGCAGCUUUAAGGCUAGUCACUGGUGCAUCCUCACAUGCAACUUUAUGACUAAUCUUCUUUCUUGAAUUUGUUGCUUGGAUUUGAAGACAAUAAAGAUCGCCUUUUCCUCUCGGCCUUGAAGCACUAUCAAUCCAUCAUCCACAUUGAUGAUUACCUUUGUUGUUUUCAUGAAUGGCCUUCCAAGAAUAAUUGGGAUCUUCUCAUCUUCCUCCAUCUCCAUCACCACAAAGUCUACCAGGAAUUUAAGUUUCUCUAUACAAACCACAACAUCUUCCGCUACACCAUAGGAUUUCUUGGAAGAUCCAUCCCCCAUAAGCAAAGUCACCUUUGUUAGUUUGACUUCAAGAUCAUCAAUCCUUUCAAGCAGUGAUAAGGGCAUCAAAUUAAUGCUUGACCCUAAAUUAGUUAGGUCUUUCCUUAUAUUCACCUUCUCAAUGACGCAAGGAAUAGUAAAACUUCCUGGAUCUUUCACCUUUGGAGGAAGUGGUUUCUUCAAAAUAAUAGUGCAAUUACCCUAUUCAUCCAUAGUUUCCUCAUCUAAGUAUCUCUUUUUUAUGAGGAAUUGCUUCAUGUGCUUCUCAUAAAAGGUAUAGUCAUCUCCAAUUACUUGAAGAUCUCCUUAAAACACUCACAUUGCCUCUCUUUAUCAAUUUUUUCACGCCCCUUAGGAUAAGGAAGAGCUUUUUCAAUUUUCUCAAUUUUUUUCGCUCCCCUGUUCUUUUCUUUCUCUUUCGUCUCAACCUCACCUAUUCUUUCUUGUUUUUCUUCUCUCUUCCCUAACUCAACUUCUUCUUUGCUCUCUUCCACCCUCUAAUCGUCUAUGCUCACAAUAGCUUUACAUUCUUCCUUAGGGUUAACCUCAGCGUUAGCCCCAAAUUGCUUUUCUACUUUAUCUUCCAUCUUCUUGGCCAGUUGGCCGACCUACAUCUCCAAAUUUCUUAUAGCAGCUUCAGUGCUCUUGUGAUUGAAGAUAGUCACCUGGAUAAAUUGUUCAAGGGUGUCUUUUAGCUUUAUUGAUCUUUCAUUUAACGCAGAUACAUGUUGCCAUAGUGAUGGUUGUUGUUAUGGUCUAUUGAAUUGCCUUGCUUGUCCAGCUUGUCCACUUUGACCUUGACCCAUGCUUGGCUGAGGUUUCCACCCUUGUUUGAAGUUCCCUUGGCGAAAUUUGAAUUGAUUACCCAUAUAAUUGACAUCUUCUUAGGCCUCCACUAGAAAAUCACAUUGACCAUUGAUAUGAUCACCACUACAUAAUUCACAUAGUUGUUGUUGAACCUGUGAAACGUUCUUCAUCUCCUUUGGCAACUGAGCGAGGGUCUUCAUCGAAUUCUCCAACUGUUGAGUUACUAUUUUAUUUUGUGCAAGCAAGGCAUCUUGAGGUUGUAAUUGUAGAAUUCCCUUUUGUUGAGGUGGAGCUCCUCUUUCACUGUGCAUCUCGUUAUCAUUAGUAGCCAUGUUGUCGAUCAACUCAAAAGCUUCCUCUGGAGUCUUCAUCUUGAUAUUACCUCCAAUUGAGGCAUCUAGCAUUAAUUUCGUCUGAGAGCUAAAACCUCCAAGGAAUAGACGGACUACCGUAGCUUCAUCAAAGCCAUGUUUGGGCGUCUUUCUCAGCAAGCUUUUGUAUAUAUCCCACGCUUGACCUAAAGUUUCAUCCAUGCCCUGCCUGAAAGAAGAAAUUUCUCGCUUACCCUAGUUGAUUUUUUACUAUGGGAAGUACUAGUUCAAAAACUUUGAAACCACAGAUUCUCAUUCAGUAAAGCUAUCCUCCAGGAAAGAAUUUAACCAUAGCUUAACAUUGCCUCCCAAUGAGAAAGGAAACGAGCUAAGUUUUAUAGCAUCAUCCGACACACCAUUGAUCUUCACAGUGUUACAAAUCUCGUUGAAUGUGGUCAGAUGUUCAUAUGGACUUUCAUGAGACAGUCCAUUAAAUUGAUUGCUCUUCGCCAAUUAUAUCAACGCUGGUUUCAACUCCAUAUUCGUAGUCAUUGACCCUCGGCCUUGCAAUGCUAUUAAAGUGAUGAGGGCCAAGAAUAGUGUAAUCCGCUAGAGUUCGUCUGCCAUUGUUAUCUUCAGCCAUCUCUUCAGUACUUUGGUCAGAUGUUUGCGGUGAAGGUUGUAAAAGUGUCUCUGAAGGAGGAAAUAAUUCUCUUGAUGUUCGGAUCCUCCUUCUUCUUCUACUUUGGUCUAACCCUUGAAGAAGAGGUUCAGAGUUUUUCUUGCUUCUAGUGCUAUAUACACAAGAAAACAAAACCUUAGAAAGAAAUUAUUAGAAGAAAAAAAAAAUCAAGUAAAAGUUAAUCAAUAUGCACACAAAUAAAAUAGUUAAACCACGAGUCCCCGACAACAACUCCAAAAACUUGUUAAGACUCCGGCUAGUGUACCAAAUAGAUGGAUGAGUUUUUAAGGAUUUCCCAUGCAAGACAAUGAAAGAAAUGUGGGAAGUUCUUGAAGUAACACAUGAAAGAAUUGAUGAGGUAAAACAUGCCAGAAAGAAUUCUCUUGUGCAGAUGUUAAGGCUCUGACAAGUGUACCGAAUCAUAUCAAGUAAUAUAAAUGGUAAAUCCAAGUAUCAUCUUCCUUAGAGACUCAUGGCCUAGACAUUCAUGUGGUUUCUUGAUUAAUUAAGACUUGUAAACGAAAUCAUGGUGUUUGUAAUGCAGAAAUAAAUAUGAAUGCAAGUGUUUGAUCAAUUGACUUGAAGAAUGCGCAGUUGAUUGAUGUAUAAAAUAUGGGAUGAUUAUGUUGUUCGAGUUUCCGACUUAUCCUAUCCACUCUCAUGUAUUUAUGAAUUUAUCUUCUUUAUUAAUGUUAAUGCCACUUUCUAAUUUACUUUAAACCUGAUGUCUCGAUGAAGAAAGCCUACUCUUAAUUACUAGUUCACAAUGUCUUGUAUCCCCAAUAAUUAAUUAUGCAUUACAUUUGCACAAAAGCAGUGUUGUGUGUGAUUUUGCAUAGAAUAUAUUUUCAAACUGAGCUGAAGUGUCUAAGUCGACUACAUGCGUAGUGGAUCCGACUUAGUAGUUAUUUGAUUUGAAAUUUUGUUAAUGCUUGUGUACAGUAACGACUAUAUUUCAAAUGUCGAUUAAAACAUUUAUGAUUGUCAACUGUGUUAAAUGCAAAAUCAAUUUGGUUGAUAUGACUGCUCCUAAUUUGCUUAACUAUUAUAAAUGUUUGAUGACAGUCGACUUCAUUAGUAGCACAAUCAACUACAGGAGCGUCUGAUUUAUAGAAACCUAUAAAUAGACGUGUCUCUGUUAAUCAUAGAGACUUUAGUUGAUCUAACAUUUUCUUUUUACUAUUUCAAAUUAAGAUCCUAUGAUUAAACGCUCCAAGAACUCAUCAAGAAGACUGUUGAGAUCUUUCUUUGAAGAGGUUCUGAAGGAGAAGAUUUGCGUGCUUACUGGCUGAUCAAACUCUGCACAUUGUGCUGUUCAUCUAUUCAUCAAGAUUUCUGUCAAUCUUUGGAAAGAAAUCUUGUUAUCCUGUUGUGAUUACAGGAGGUGUUCAAAGUGGGUUGAAGAUCACAGAAAAGGGGAUAUUUUGCUGCAGACCUUUGUAUUGUUGCCUAUAUUUUGGUUAGAGGGUUAGAGAGGUGUUUUAUAUCUUUGACGUGGAGGUGUCUAUAAAAGCCUUGUUGUAAAAACCUUAACCAUUAUAGUGCAUUUGCUUCUGGAUUGUGGAAGGACACUGGAGGUAGGCAUUGAGGCUGAACCAGUAUAAAAACUCUGCGUUUGAUUUCUCUAUCCUAGUAAUAUCAAGUAAUAAUAAAACGGUAAGUUCGAAUAUCGUUUCCUAAAGGACUCUUAGGCCGAAACGUUUGUGUGAAUUCUUGAUUGCUUAAGACUUGAUGGAACAAAAAGUUGGGUUUUUAAUGUAAGACAGAAAAUAAACAUGCAUGCAAAGAUUGAUCAAUUGACAGUUGAAUUAUAUAGAUGAAUGGUGUUGUUGGGGGUUUAUGAUUUCAUCCUAAUCCAUUCUCAUGUAUUUACAAAUUCUACACAAUUCUACUUCUUUAUCAAAGUUAGUGCCACUUUCUAAAUUCUCCUAAUUCCAAUAUCUUGGUGAUUAGAGUCUAAUCCUAAUUACUAGUUUACUAUGUCUAGUAUCCCUAGCAAUUAAUCAUGCAUUACAUAAUUCGCACAAAAGCUUUAAGGCAAUUGGUCCUCCUAUCCCUAUGUCGCAAUACUGCUACCAAGAGCAUUUCCUCAUCUCUAGACCUAACUAUACGUGUCCAUAUAAAUAGAAUAAAAAAUCAUGCUAUUGAUUAAUGUCUUAAGCAAAUCAUACAAAUAUAAUGGAGGGAAAACUCUAACAAUUGAUAAAAGAAAGCAUAUGAAAUUGCAAUACAUGAGAGUUUCAAUAGGAUUAAAUCAUUCCCCCAACAACAAAAGGGUUUAGUUCACCAUAAUCAUGGUGAAAAUAAAUGAAUUGAAUGAAAGAUAUGAAGAGAUAACCCUAGAUUUGAUCAAAUGGAGCUUCUGAAUCCAAAAUCUUCCUCCAAGGGGUGAGAAAGUGUGUUUCUGCUAUGAAAGAUGACCUCUAAGGGUCGCACAAAUCUAUCUAUAAACGAUGAAAAAUUACAGAAAACAGGCCCAAGCCCAAAGUACAACGCUCAGCAGUAGGUGCGACACUCAAGUGGGACACUCAGCAUGCACGCCUAGGCAUUUGGCAGUGUUGUUACUGAAGAGGCCAACGCUCAGUGGUGGGCACAACUUUAUCUUCUCCCCUCAGUGUUGGCACUUAAGCGUUUGACAGCGUACAAAUUGAAGAAGUCAGCGCUCAGCGGUGGAUCUGGCACUCAGCAUUGGGUGCGAUUCUAUCUUUUCCCCUUAGUGUUGGUGCCUGAACGUCUGACAUAGUCUAUUCAAUGAAACUAGCGCUCAGCAGUAUUUGCGUUUCCUCAUUUGUUCAUUUUUCCAUCUUUUCUUGAGUCCAAUUCCUUCUUACUUCAUUAUCCCUCUCUUAUAACCUAACUAAGACAAAAUGCAUGAUUUCAAGCUAGUUUCUAGGUCAUAAAGGGUGUGUUUUUUUAUCAAAAUUAAGUAUGAAAAUAACGGUUUUUGAACCAUUAUCAAAGAUUACCUUAGAGAAGCUCUUGAAGAGAUGUACUUGAAUGAAAAUACUCCUUCUGAAGUUGCAAUAGUACAUCAACAAGUUGAACAUAGAAGUUAUCAACAACCACGAGGCCUUUCUAUGGACAACAUCAUUGGAGAUAUCUCAAAAGGGGUAACCACCAGACACAACUUAAUUUUUUUUUUUGUUUAAAUGUUGCUUUCGUGUCUCAAAUAGAACCCAAGAACAUAGGCGAAGCUCAUCAAGAUGAAAAAUGGUGUAUCGCUAUGAAGGAAGAGCUUAACCAAUUUGAAAGGAAUGAAGUUUGGAACUCAUUCCUAGAGAAGAGCAUUACCAAGUGAUUGGUACAAAGUGGGUAUUCAGAAAUAAGUUGGAUAAAGAAGGAAACAUCACAAAGAACAAAGCAAGAUUUGUUGCUAAUGGCUACUGUCAAGAAGAAGGUUUAGACUAUGAUGAGACCUAUGCAUCAGUAGCCAAUUUAGAAGCAAUUAAACUAUUACUUGCUUAUGCAUCAUUAAUGAAAUUUAAGUUGUAUCAAAUGGAUGUGAAAAAUGCUUUUCUGAAUGGUUUCAUUAAGGAGGAAGUAUAUGUUAGUAAACCUCCUGGUUUUGAAGAUUUUAAAUUUCCUGAUCAUGCUUAUAAAUUGAAGAAAGCAUUGUAUGGCCUUAAACAGUCACCUAGGUUUUUGUAUGAAAGACUUAGUACUAUUGGGACUACAAAUAAAACAAAUGGGUGGGGGAACCUUUAUCUCCCAAACCAAAUAUUGUUGGGAAGUCCUUAAGAAAUUUGGAAUUGACACUUCUAAAGAAGUUAACACCCCUAUAGCAACUUCCUGUUAUUUAGACAAAGAUGAAUCUAGGCUAGAAGUAAACCAAACCAUGUUCAAAGGUAUGAUAGGUUCAUUACUCUAUCUCAAAGUAAGUAGACCUGAUAUUAUGCAAAGUGUAUGUAUUUGUGCUAAGUACCAAGUGUUAAGCCCCUGGCAAGUGUACCAGAUCAUUAUCAAUUAGUAAUAAAACGUUAAGUCCGAGUAUCGUUCUCCAAGAGGACUCUUAGGCCUUAUCUUUCAUGUAAAUUGAUAUUAUAAGACUUGUAAAGAAAUAAACUUGUGGUUAAAUGCAAAGAACGAAAAUAAACAUGCAAAUGCAAGUGAUUCAAUUGGCAAGGAAAAGAUAUGGAUGGAUGGAGUUGUUUGGGUUUACAAUUUCAUCUUAUCCACCCUCUUAUAUCUACUUUUCUUAUUAAAUUCAAUUAAUAAUCUAAUUGCCAUGCAACUUUCUUAGCCUACCCUAAACCCAAUCUCUUGGCAAAAAGAGCCUACUACUAACUACUAGUUUACUAUCUCUAGUUUCCUUGAGUAAUUAGCAAUGCAUUAAUCACAACAGCAAAUUACAGUUGAUCGUCCUACCCCUAUCUCUAGGCAGUAUUGCUUAAUCAAGGAAUUCCCUAUCAGUUCAUGACUUCCCCGUACGUCUUCAUAUCGACAAAGACAAAUUUCAUUUACUGAAUGAGUUAAACGAUAAAAGCAUUAAGCAUAGAUAAGAAACCCAACAAUUAAUAAUAUAAGCAUAUGCAAGCAUAUGAAUAAAACAAGAAUUUCAAUAUAAGAGAGUUUCAAUAGAUUACAUUGUUUCCCAACAACAAAGGGUUUAGUUCACCAUAGACAUGGUGAAACUAGAUGGAAUUAAAUGAAAGAAUGGAAGAGAUAACCUUAGAUUUGAUAAAGUGGAGCCUAAGCAUCCAAGAAAUCUCCUCCAAGGAGUGUAGAAUAGCUAUGGACCUCUCUGCUUGCCAAAAGAAUACUUUGAGGGUCGCAUUGGGACUACUUAUAAAGCAUAAAAGUAACAAAAUUUAAGCCCAGGCCCAUCAUUGCACUGCUCAGCGCCUAAAUUGGCCGCUCAGCGGUUUGCCUCCAAGCCGCAGAAUCGCUCAACGGUCAGUCUCACUGCUCAGUAGUUUUCCUCUAAUAGCAUUGGCCGCUCAGCGGCACCGCUUGGGCGAGAAGCAUUGAUUUCCCCUUUGUCUCUGGCGCUCAGCGUCAAAUCCCAGCGCUGAGCGAUGGACUUGCCUCUUUUUUUCUUCCCUUUUUCCUUUUUUCUUGAGUCUAAGUUCUCCCUACUUCACUUCCAUCUUCAAUUCUCAUCAAAACCCUGAACAUCAAUGCAAAAACAAGCAUAAUAUCUCUAAAAACAACUUUUGACUCUCAAGUGACUCAACUAAGUGUUUUACUUGAUUAUAAGAUCAUUCUAAGCCAAAAAUGGUGUGUUUUGAUACCAAUUUCAAGUAUAAAAAUAACGGUUUUAGGACUGUUAUCACCAAGCCAAUCCUGAAGAAUCCCACCUAACAGUUGUUGAGAGAAUUAUGAAGUAUCUUAAGGGAACUACUUUUUUUGCAUUAUGGUAUCCUUCCGACGCAACACCUAGCUUAAUGGGAUACUCUGACGCUGAUUAUGGGGCUAUAAAAUAGCAAAAGUAAGAGUGGAACAUAUCAUUUUCUGAACUGUUCUUUGGUGUCUUAGCACUCAAAGAAACAAGAGUGUGUAGCCUUGUCUACCAUAAAAACAAAAUAUAUUGUUGCUAAUAACUGUUAUGCUUAGAUUCUAUGGAUGAAACAACAACUGGAAGACUUUGAUAUCUUCCUUGAUGACAUUCCACUAAAAUGUGAUAACACUAGUGCCAUUAGCUUGACUAAGAACACCAUAAUGAAUUCAAGAACCAAACAUAUAGGAAUUAAACAUCAUUUCUUAAGAGAUCAUAUUCAAAAGGGUGAUUUUACCAUAGAAUACAUUGAGACAAUGCAUCAAUUAGUUGAAUGUUAUACAAUAAUCCCUUUAACAAAAUUUCUAAGUACAAACUUCAAGUUCAUCUAAUUUUCCCUAGGAUUUACUUAAGGAAGACCUUUUGAGAAGUAGAAUUCAUGAUUUUUUAUCGAGGCCGUACCUGAAUCAAAAGUGCAGUAUAAACUAAGAAGUGACUCCUAGGUCAUCUUUCAAGAAGCAAAUGUGGUUUAGGCAAUAGGUCAAACACGUGGUGGGGGCUGGUUUAUGGAUAGUUUUGUGAACAUAAUUAAACUAAUUGAAGCACAAAUUUAACACAAAUUUAACAAAAAGUUGGCCUUUGGAUCAAUUGCAAAGCUUCCCAUCCUUGAUUAAUAACAAACCAAACACUCAUCUUACCCUUAAUCCAACACGACUUAACCAACUAAGAGAAGGUUAAUCUGGUCUUCAAAUUUGCAAACUAAGCGAAUGCAACACACCUAUUCAAUUAAUUCUUCACCACAUAGACUAAUCAACUAAGCAAAGACUAACCACCAAUUCAGCAACUAAGCACAUACCUAAUUGCAAGCACAGACCCAACUUAAUACAAUGCAAGGUAAGACAACAGAUUACAAUUCACAGUCCAGAAAUCUCAAGUAAGCAAUGCCUGAUAACAGUUUAAAACACCGUUAUUUGUGAUGUAAUUUUGAUACUAAAAGCAUCUUUUUGAACAUAGAAACUUGCUUGGACUCAUGCUUUUUCAUUAAGUUGUGUGAAUAACAGAGUUGAGGUUGAUUUAAAUGAUUUUAUGACUAAUUCCCUUUGUUUUGACAGAGAUUGAGGUAAUACUGGAAGAAGAGAUGAAAAGCCAAGAAGAUGGAGCUUAGAAGGCCUAGAAAAGGCACCAGAAGGAGGGAAAACACGAAGCCCGGGUGACCAGAAGUGACGCUUAAGCGUGUUGUAUCGACGUCCAUCGCCCAGGGGUGGCUAUCACCACCCUGGCGGCAAGGCUUCGAAGCUUGGGCAUCCAAGAUGCCUGGGCCUUACAUGAGCUGUUUUGACCACCUAGACGGUCUCCCAGGACACUUAGGCGUCAACUUUUGUGGACCGAACCCUGUUUCUGCUCUGUGUCGAUUCUUUUAUACCGGACCCUAUUUUGGAACGCCUCUCACACUAUUUAAAGGACCCUGGGGCUCUAGGUUUUGCAUCCCUGACAGAGAAGAACAUAACAGUACACUUUUUUCCCAAUUCUUAGGCUUUCAUUCUCAUUCUUUUUUCCUUUAUUCAUAGAGUUCCCCUAUGUCUUUGGGGAACUAAUUUCUAUUUGUUGUUGGGGAAUGAUGUAACCUUGUAAACUCUCAUGUAUUUGAAUUAAUUCUUAAUUCCAUAUGCUUUUUCAUUAGUUGUUAGAUUAAUUCAUCUGUUUCUAUGCUUGCUUAUACAAUAUCAUGAUUUAUGAAUUGCAUGAGCGCUAGGAGAUUCCUUAGAAUUCAGGUUCUUGUUGAAUUACUCCCAAUGGUUAUAUUUCUCAAGGAUGAGGGUAUGAGUCUUGGUCAUCUUAAUCUCUUGUUCUUCACAUCUCUUUACCAGGAAUGCUAGGAAUUGAAUGAAUUGGUAAUUAGGGACAAGCUUAUUCACCGAGGGAUUAGGAUAGGUAAUUUAGUGAGAGACGUUGCUAUUAAUGCAUAAAGAAGAAUUCUUAUAUACAUGAGAGGGAACAUGGUGAAAUCUAACCCCAACAACAUACCCAUCUCAUAUAAAUCAACCUUCGUUCGUCUCUAUGUUCCUUUAUCACUAAUCAAUUUUAUUUUGUCUUAUUUUAUUAUUUUUGCCCAAACCCAAUUAUCACUUUUUAUUUUUGUCUUAAUUAAUCUUGUUUUCACACACUUGUUCAGCCCCAAGAGUCCUCUAGGAUACGAUACUUGGUCUUACCAUUUUAUAUUACUUGUGUGACUCGGUACACUUGUCGAUCCGUCUCAACAAGUUUUUGGCGUCGUUACUGGGGACUCACGGUUUAAUCUAUUUUAUUUGUGUGAUCCUUGAUUAAUUUUGACUUUAUUUUAUUUUAUUUUUUUAUUUUUUAUUUUUCAAUCUUUAAUUUUAUUUUAUUUGAGUUCUAUUCUGUUUUUUUAUACUAACAAUAUUUUCUAGAAUCUUUUUUGUGUAGGACUUAAGACUAGCAGGAGGCCGAAAGGAGAUAGAUUAUUUAGAGAACCCUUUCUAGAGAAAAUUUCACAGGCCUGAUAAUAUGAUCUAACAGGAUGCAAUUCUACCAAGGUAAUUUCAACUAUUGGUGGGAACCUAACUCAAGCACAAAUCAAAGUCAAUAUGGGCAAUUUGGUGGGUUAUUCACUAGACCACCACAAGCUAACAGUGUUACAAAGCUUGAAGAGACCCUCUUGUGGUUCAAGCAGGAAUCUCUCUCAAUUUAGGAAAGCACUCAAGCAGCAUCCGAAAGGAUGGAGGCACAGUGUAAAUUCAUAAUUCAAGAGCUAGAUAAUCUUGAGAGUUAUUUGAGUGAUGACCUUGGUAAGGAAUGCAGAGAUGUUGUCAUUGAAAGUUGCAAGAUGUCAGAUGAGGAGAGAGAAAAAGAAGAAGAUGAAAGUUUGGGUGAGAAAGAGAAAGAGUUAGAGAAGGAAGAAGAUGAGAGAAAAGAAAAAGAAAGGUUGAGUGAAAAAGAAAAAGAUGAAGUAAAGAAAGAAAAGGAAGAAAGUGAGGGAAAAGAAAAGGAAAAAGAGAGGGAAGAAAAGAAAGAGGAUGAGAGAAAAAGAGAGAGAGAAGAAAAAGAAUUUUUGAGUGAAAAGGAGAAGGAUGUAGAGGAAGAAAAAGAAGGGGUUGAGAGAGAAAAGAAAAAAAUUGAGAAAAGUCCUUUGUGCCCUAAGGAGUGUCCCAAUGAGAAAAAGAGAGAGGGGAAGGAUGAAAGCAAAAAGAAAGAAUCAUAUGAAAAACCCCUUCCUCACCUAAAGAAGGAUCAUAGGAAAAAAAAGGAAAAACCGUUUGAGCUUUCAUGGAAAUCUUCAAGAAAUUAGAGAUUAAAGUUCCUAUGUUUGAGACACUACAAAAGGUUCCUGGUUAUAUUAAAUUCCUAAAAAAACUCAACAAAAAGAAAAAAAUGUCUUGAGCCUAGUUCAUGAAUUUUUUUUUAUUUUGUUUUAUUUUAUUUUAUUUUUUAUUUUAUUUUAUUUUCUUUUAUUUGUUUGAUUUGGAUUUGAUUUUGUUUUUGUGUGUUUGAGUUCUUUUUUUUUUUAGGUUAUAUGUUGCUUCUGAUGAUAGUAAUGACAACAUCUACUGAUGGAUGCUUCCACAACAUCUACUAAUGGAUGUUUCUAUGAUGAGGAUCAUGAAUGGCAGCGUCUACUGAUGGAUGCUGCUACGGAUGUUCGGUGAUUAGGCAUCUACUGAUAGCUGCCGAUGAAGAUGAGGAAGAUUGGUGUCUACUGAGGGAUACCAAUGUAGAUAAGAAAUAUUAGCAUCUAUUGAUGGAUGCUAUAAGAUUGGGUCAAGCUAGUGACUUUAAAGAAGCGCUUGCUGGGAGGAAACCUAGUUUUUUGAACUAUUUCUUUUGAAUUUAAUUUUUGUUUUUGUUUUAUUUUAUUUUAUUUUUAUUGUGCUCUGCUUGAAUGAAUUGAACUGCUUUGAUUCAACUGUAUUGUGUUUGGUGAUGAACAUUGCUUUAUGAGAUUCUGGUGUUUGAUUGAUGUUGAGAUGGUGCAUGAUGUGGUAUAGGUGAUGACUCACAAUAUGUGAAACAUGUGCUUAAGAUAAAGUUUGAUUGAGAUAUUGAGCGGGAUGUUUUUAUGAAUUUUAGAACUUGUGAGUUUACCUGUGAGAGUUUUGGGCUUCAGAGUUGUUUGGAAAUAAUUGCUAUUACUUUGAAAGCAUGAAUGAUUUUGCCCAAAUUUUCUAUGAUUGAACUGAUUGGUUGCAGGUUUCAUAUGAUCAAGGCCAUCUUUUCGUUGGGGCAAAUCGACAAGUGUACCGAGUCGCACAAGUAAUAUAAAAUGGUAAGACCAAGUAUCGUAUCCAGAGGACUCUCAACGCUGAACAAUUGUGUGAAAAUAGGAUUAAUUAAGACUUAAAAAAAAGAGAUCAUGGAUUGUAUUGCAAAAGGAAUAAAAUAAAGCAAAGUAAAAGUGAUUAGUGGCAAAAGAGCAAAAAGAUGAAUGAAGGUUGAUUUAUAUGAGAUGAUUAUGUUGUAGGGGUUUGACUUCACCAAGUUCCCUCUCGUGUAUAUAAGAAUUCUUCUUUAUUCAUUAAUGCCAACGUCCCUCACUAAAUCACUUAAACCCGAUCCCUCGGUAAAUAAGUCUGUUCCUAAUUACCAGUUCAUACAAUUCCUGGCAUUCCUGGUAAAAAGAUGUGAAGAUCAAGAGGUUAAGACGACUAAGACUUAAACCCUCAUCCUUGAGCAAUAUAACCCUUAGGAGUAGUUCAACAAGGACCUGAAUUGAAAGGAACCUCUCGACACUCAGGCAACUCACAGAUCAUGCUAUUGUAUAAGCAAGAAUUAAAACAGAUGAAUUACUCUAACAAUUAAUGAAAAAGCAUAUGGAAUUAAGAAUCAAUUCAAAUACAUAAGAGUUUACAAGGUUACAUCAUUCCCCAACAACAAAUAGAAAUUAGUUCCCCAUAGACAUGGGGGAACCUAUGAAUAAUGGAAGAAAAGAAAGAAUGAAAAGACUAAGAAUUGGCUACGAGUGUAUUGUUAUGCUUGCUUCUGCCAGGGAUGCAAAACCUAGAGCCCCAUGGUCCUAUAAAUAGUGUUAGAUGCGUCCCAAAGUGCAGCCCGGUCCAAAAGAACUAAAUCAGAGCAGAAUCAAGGCCUCGUCCACGUGAAAUCACGCUCAAGCGUCGCAGGGAGCUCGCCCAAGCGUGAAUUAAGGGUCAUGUGAGGCGUGGGCGCCAGUUUUGGAUGCCUAGGCUUCGGGCGUCCGUCGCUCGGGCAUUGGGUCCGUCGCCCGGGCGACCAGCGUCGAUUUGGAACUCGCUGUUUUUCGUUCCUAUCGCCUGUGCUUCAGGUUUUCUCCCUUCUUGAUGCCUUUUUGACCCCUUUUGAGCUCCAUCUUCUUGGCUUUUCACUUCUUCUUCCAGUAUUGCUUCAACCUCUGUCGAAGCAAGGGGAAUUUAUUAGAAAAUUAUUAAAAUCAACCUCAACUCUGUUAUUCACACAAUUUACUAAAAACACAUGAGUUCAAGCAAGUUUCUAAGUGAAAAAAUGUGCUUUUAGUCUCAAAAUCAUAUAGCAAAUAGUGGUGUUUCAAAUCGUUAUCACUUUUCUUAUCCCUUAUUCUUUUGGCCUUCACAUAAUAUUUGCCACUGAAAAGAGAACCAUUUGUUCUAACCUUUGAACCUUGAACCUUAUGCAUGUUUGAAAAACCUUUUUUGUAAAAUAUCUUUACCUUGAGUUAAGUUGAGAACAUUUGAUGAGGUACUGAUAAAGGUUCAAGUUUUGGGUUGCUAGGUAGCAACCCACUUCUCUAGGUAGUGAGCAAUAAAAAGCAAAAGCGAAGGCAAAAGAAAAGAAAAGUAAAGAAAAGAAAAAUAAAAGGAGAAGAAAGAGCUUCCAGCAAGGUAAAACUGGGAAAAAGAAAGAGAGUUUGUUCUUAAAUGUUAAAUUCACAAAUAUCUCUCUUAACUCAAGGAACUUUGUUGUCUAGAUAAACCAAUUUCCUUCUUAGCCCAACCCAGUUACAAGCCAUGAAAAGCCCUUGUGAUGAUUACCUGCUUGUGAGUAUAAUUGAUUGUGGUUAAAUAAAAGGAAAAAUUAAUUUGUGCAAUAUUGUGAUAGCAGAGUGAAACACCUCACUAUAAACCUUUGAGUUGAGUAAAACACUCUUGAGUGCUUGAGUGAAACACUUUCCUUGGUGAAGAGUGGUUCUUUGAAUUUCUGAUUUCAUCUUUGCUUGGUUGAUUAAUCAUUCUUAAGGAUAGCAUUUGUUGAAAGUGCAUGAACAUCACAUGAAUUUUGAUUGAAUUAAGGCAUCUACAUAUCUUGACUGAGAUCUUUAUGUUGAAUUGAUAAAAGUGAUUCUUUGUCUUGAAAGAAAAAGUUUUUUUUGAAAAAGGUUGAGUCAUUGUAGUGAUUAUUCUGAAGAUGUGAGUUACAUGUUGUUUGCUUGAGGACAAGCAAAGUUCUAAGUUUGGGGUUGUGAUAACGGUUUAAAACACCGUUAUUUGUGAACGAACUUUGAUACUAAAAACACCCUUUNNCACUUAGAAACUUGCUUGGACUCAUGCUUUUUCAUUAAGUUGUGUGAAUAAGAGAGUUGAGGUUGAUUUCAAUUAUUUUAUGACUAAUUCCCUUAGUUUUGACAGAGAUUGAGGUAAUACUGGAAGAAGAGAUGAAAAGCCAAGAAGAUGGAGCUUAGAAGGGCUCAAAAAGGCACUAGAAGGAAGGAAAAAACGAAGCCCGGGCGACCAGAAGCGAGGCUUAAGCAUGCUGUAUCGACGUUCACCGCCCGGGCGGUGGCCUUUGUCGCCCGGGCGGCGGGGCUUCGAAGCUUGGGCGUUACAUGAGUUGUUUUGACCGCCCAAGCAGUCUCCCAAGACGCUUCGGCAUCGACUUUCAUGCACCGGGCCCUGUUUUAAAUUUAGAAAAGAAUGUUUUCCUUUUAAUAUGGGUUGUAUGAUGAAGUCAUAGUGAAUAUAUUGUGUAAAGAACACAAAUAUAAAGAAAGAAACCUAGACUCUAAAACUCAAAUAUUCAUCACCAACAUUUCAAACAUUAUUAAAACAUCUUAAUCGUCACUUGAGUCUUUGAAGGUCUUCUUCGANAUCUAUAAGCUUAAAGUAUAUCCUUAUCCAAAAUUUAAAAUGCAUUAUAAUUUAGUUUUUCACAUUUCAAUAUGUGAUCAAAAAAUACCAUAAAUUCCUUUAAGAUUUUCAUCAUUAGAUGUCUCAGUCUACGUGACUUAAACCAUGACGGAGCUAGAGAAUCCCUACUACAACAUAGACUUUUUACUUAAUACUUAGUCGUGAUUCAUAGAUCGUUGUAUAUAUGUGAGCUCAAAAACCAAACAAACAUACACACUCACAUAUGUGUUAUACCUUUUACCCUAUAGUAAGUGGUCAUUUAGCUUAAUAGGAUUUUUAGUCCCUAUGUAUGUAGUAGUGAUUCAAAAUUUUCCUUCUAUUUAUUAUCUGACUUAAUAUGGUUCAUAUAUUUGUUUUAGAAAGAUCCACUAUGGUCUCUUCCAUUAGAUUAAAGUUAAUGUUGUUUAGAUGAUGAUGAGUUAACAUCUAUUAAGUCAUUCUUCUUUUUCAUCCUCGAAACAAUGUUAGCAUAUGUCAUUUGUUUAUCCUCUAGAUGAUGUUACCGUUGAUCUAACGGAAAGGACCACAUUGAGUCUUUUAAAAAAAAUUAAAAGUCACAUUGAAUAAAAAUAUAAAUAUAGGUAAAACAUUAAAUCAUUGCUAUAAAUAUAUAAACUAAAACCGUUAUUAAUAAUCAAUGUUAACAAUAUCAUUUACACAUGUUAAGUCAAAAUAAAAAGUAACUUAAGCGUUACAAAAACGUUAUUAUAUUUAAACGCUUUUUCUAUUAUAAAUAUACCUUCUAUCUAUAUUUAAUGCAUAUAACUCAAAUAAUUAAUGAAAAUUUUUAUUGUUUAAAGAUCAAAGUUGAGUUUAAAAAAAUUUCAAAACCAAAUAUUAUUUAAUAUAAUGUUGUUAUAAUAUUGUUUUCUAUUUUAUUUUUUAUAAGGGAUUCACUUAUAAGGAAUUACUCUUUAUGAACCUUUUAUUUAAUCUUAAAUUAACUACAUAGAUAAUUAUGAUUAAUGAAGUAUAUUACGUAAUGACUUGUAAAAUGCUGGAGAGUAGAAAUAUUAUUUACAAGAAAUACUCUAUUAUUUUAUUAUAAAUAUCUUAUAAUUUAUAAGAUGAUGACACUUCCUUACCGAUGUCGUGAGUAAAGUAAAACAUUCUUAUAUCCAAAAAAAAUUAAAAUUUGAUUUCAUCACAGAUAACUAUAGUUAAAUACCUUUUUUUGUCCCAGUUUUGGUUACGAAUAUUCAAACUGGUCCCCAUUUUAUUUUUCUGUUCAAUAUAGUCCUAAAGAGCGUAAUUAUGUUCAAUUUAGUCCUUUUUAUGUUCAAUGUAGUCCUAAAGAACGUAAUUUGUGUUCAAUUUAGUCAUUGUUUGUGGUUCAUGGAGUUUGUAAAAAGGACUAAAUUGAACACAAAUUACGUUCUUUAGGACUACAUUGAACAGAAAAAUGACUAAAUUGAACAUAAUUACGUUUUUAGGACUAUAUUGAACAAAAAAAUAAAAUGGGGACCAUUUCGAAUAUUUGUAACCAAAACUGGACCAAAAAAGGUAUUUUACCUAAAAACAUUAAUUCGUUUAAAAUUAAAUAAAUGAAAAUUUAUUUCAAUAUCGAAAAUUUUCAUAUAAUAUUCCAAAAUCAUUAUAUCAAAAUUAGUUGAAAGUGUUUUUAAAAACAUAAACUACAAAAAUCUCAAAGCACUUCCAAGAACUUGUUCGCUCUACUCAUGAAUUGAAACAUCUGUAAGAACAUCUACUCUUAUAUAACAACAAGAGUUAUACAAUCAUCGCACUAUGCACAAACAAUAAGAGUGAUCUACCAUAAUAACCACCUAAUAAUAUAACAAACAAUAAAUAUCAAUCAUUGUAUUAAUGCUAUCAAUAUGACACAUCAAACAUGGUCAUCUCAAUUAUAAGCCACACCCAAACAUGCCACAACCAAACAAUUUCAAAACAUGUGUUGUUCUUUUGUAUUUUAUUGUACAAAACUUGUUCACCAAAGCAGGGCACCUAUUCACCAAAAUAGGGUAGUUUGAGUCGUCCUCCAUUGUAACUUUAGACAUAUCUCCCCGACUCCUUGAGGACUUAUGAGUAAAAACUCUAUUGCUGCUCACAACGGACACUGUACUCAACUGGAGCCAGAAACCUACGGGCGAGACAUUAUUCCCUUUCUAUCCCUCCGAAACAGGAAAAGGGAAACAUUCAAACCUCAUCUCUUCUAUCGCCUCUAAGAGACGAAGAGAUCCACCUUUCUACCCUAUCGAAAAGGAAACAUGACUAUCUUUCUACAACCUCCCAAGAAGAAAGGUACAACCACAAAUUUAUGAAGUACGACAAGAAGACCUAACAACCUUGUAGUAACAUAAACAUCAUAGCAACUCGAUACACACACCAACACAAGGAAAACAACGUGGCAACCCUCACCAACAGCUCGGGAAAGGUCUAAAACCCCCAAAAAUGACCUAAAAAGUGUUCAAAAUCGAUUUCUAAUUCCCCAAAUUCAAGGUCUUAAACAACUUAGUUACCCGAGAUGACCCACCAUCCCAAACUACUGAAUAUCCUAGACGACCCAGCAUCUUAGACAACCCAACAUCUCACAAUGACCUAGCGUAUAAUAACUCAGUUACACCCCAAACGAUCUAGCGUCCCCAUACAACCCAACAUUCCUAGACGACCCAACUUAACUCCCAAAUGACCUAGUUUCUGUACUGGAUGACCUAGUGCCCCCAAUUUUCCAAGCAUCCCUAAACGACCUAGUUUCACUGUCAAAUGACCAAUUUUCACUCUCAAACGAUCCAACGUCCCCAGAUGACCGAGUCUCAAUCCUAGAUGACCUAAUUUCACUCCAAGAUGAGCUAGUUUCACUUCUAGACGACCUAGUUUCACUCCUAAAUAAAUUAGUGUCUCCGUAUGACCUAAUUUCACUCGUAGAUGAACUAAUUUCAGUCACAGACUUAUUUAAGAAUCUAGUUUCAUCCUACAUUAAUUUUUAGAACCCAUUUCCAAUACCAUAGACAUUAUAACCCUAAUAUAUACACUAAACCACAAGUGUGACACUAUUAAACCAUCAAAACUCUAUACUAAAAACAACAACAUUUUCUCACUAUUAUGCUCAUUUUUUUUAUCACAAAACAUUGAGCAAAACAACAAAAAAUAUUGCACAGAAAGAAAAUUAUAACCACUGCCUAAUACCCAUAUUUUUGCUCCAAAGCAACAUAAGAAUGUCUAUUCUAGACCAGAAACACUCUAAUUCCUUAAUUGUACCAAUUAGCACAACCAUUUCAUUACACAGAAAAUAUAGAAUUUGGCUAAACUAAUAGAUGGAUAACAUACCUGUCUUGGUUCUCCUUUAAUGAAUUAAUCACUACAAAAAUAUAGUAUUAUUUACCUACCCAGAAAUGCAACAUAUGCUCACAAAAUAAUUCCUCACAAAACAAAAAUCGAAUUCACAUUCAUCACCAAGUCCAAUCAUAAUAUGCUCCUAUCAUGCAUUACAUGAAUAUCUAACCACACAUGCUCAUCAUACCAUACUUUAUGUAAGGUAAGAAAGUUUAAAUGUUUAAAAGGAGACCAAAUGCACCUAGAAAUGCAUUCUAACGGAGAGAAAAGGCAAAGACGAUGAAACUGUUGAUCGCAAACUGCUGGUUCGCACUGUUACUUAACAAGAAAUUAGAGGUCAGUUGGACACAAAACCGAUAUCUAUAAUUGAUUAUAUGUCGGGCGCGUCACUAAUAUGAUGUCCAUUGUAUUUAAAAAUUAAUGUUUGUGUUAUAUAUAGACGUCGGCUUGGCGGGAUAAGACGUCUAGUUGGCGGAAACAAAUGACUUUUUCACCACCUGGUCAGUUUAUAUACAUUCGUUACUCAAGCAACGAACGUCUAUAAUUGUUGUUGGACGUCAUUUCGGCUUGACCUGCGUCUAAGAGGCAGAAAAGAUUGACUACUCAUUUACCCGGCAGACAUAUAGGCGUCAAGUAGUAGGUUCACCGACGUCUAUAGUCUGAAAGGUAGGGUGAACAACAAUUAAUUUCCGCCAUAUAGACGUCGGUGCCCCUCCAAACCGACGUCUAUAUUUCUGAAAAGAAAUGACUUUUCACCUAACUGUCAGACAUAUAGACGUUAGAUGGGAGGUCCCCGACGUCGGAGAACCUUCUAACUGAUGCCUGUAUGACCAAAUUAUUUACAAAAAUAGCACUGAUCAUCAAUAUACGUCACUCUUACCCUUAACCGACGUCUAAGGGAUGACGUUGAAUAGCAUUUUUACACUAGUGUAUAUAUAUAUAUAUAUAUAUAUAUAUAUAUAUAUAUAUAUAUAUAUAUAUAAGAAAACAUUAUUGUAAUACAUUUGUGUAAUACUUAAGGAUAACAUUUGUUGAAAGUGCAUGAACAUCACAUGAAUUUUGAUUGAAUUAAGGCAUCUGCACAUCUUGACUGAGAUCUUUAUGUUGAAUUGAUAAAAGUGAUUCUUUGUCUUGAAAGAAAAAGUUUUUUAAAAAAGGUUGAGUCAUUGUAGUGAUUAUUCUGAAGAGGUGAGUUACAUGUUGUUUGCUUGAGGACAAGCAAAGUUCUAAGUUUGGAGUUGUGAUAACGGUUUAAAACACCGUUAUUUGUGAAUGAACUUUGAUACUAAAAACACCCUUUCGCACUUAGAAACUUGCUUGGACUCAUGCUUUUUCAUUAAGUUGUGUGAAUAAGAGAGUUGNGGUUGAUUUCAAUUAUUUUAUGACUAAUUCCCUUAGUUUUGACAGAGAUUGAGGUAAUACUGGAAGAAGAGAUGAAAAGCCAAGAAGAUGGAGCUUAGAAGGGCUCAAAAAGGCACUAGAAGGAAGGAAAACACGAAGCCCGGGUGACCAGAAGCGAGGCUUAAGCAUGCUGUAUCGACGUUCACCACCCGGGCGGUGGCCUUUGCCGCUCGGGCGGCGGGGCUUCGAAGCUUGGGCGUUACAUGAGUUGUUUUGACCGCCCAAGCAGUCUCCCAAGACGCUUCGGCAUCGACUUUCAUGCACCGGGCCCUGUUUUAAAUUUAGAAAAGAAUGUUUUCCUUUUAAUAUGGGUUGUAUGAUGAAGUCACAGUGAAUAUCUUGUGUAAAGAACACAAAUAUAAAGAAAAAACCUAGACUCUAAAACUCAAAUAUUCAUCACCAACAUUUCAAACAUUAUUAAAACAUCUUAAUCGUCACUUGAGUCUUUGAAGGUCUUCUUCGANAUCUAUAAGCUUAAAGUAUAUCCUUAUCCAAAAUUUAACAUGCAUUAUAAUUUAGUUUUUCACAUUUCAAUAUGUGAUCAAAAAAUACCAUAAAUUCCUUUAAAAUUUUCAUCAUUAGAUGUCUCAGUCUACGUGACUUAAACCAUGACGGAGCUAGAGAAUCCCUAUUACAACAUAGACUUUUUACUUAAUACUUAGUCGUGAUUCAUAGACUGUUGUAUAUAUGUGAGCUUAAAAACCACACUCAAAUAUGUGUUAUACCUUUUACCCUAUAGUAAGUGUUCAUUUAGCUUAAUAGAAUUUUUAGUCCCUAUGUAUGUAGUAGUGAUUCAAAAUUUUCCUUCUAUUUAUUUUCUGACUUAAUAUGGUUUAUAUAUUUUUUUUAGAAAGAUCCACUAUGGUCUCUUCCAUUAGAUUAAAGUUAAUGUACUUUAGAUGAUGAUGAGUUAACAUCUAUUAAGCCAUUCUUCUUUUUCAUCCUCGAAACAAUGUUAGCAUAUGCCAUUUGUUUAUCCUCUAGAUGAUGUUACUGUUGAUCUAACAGAAAGGACCACAUUGAGUCUUUUAACAAAAAUUAAAAGUCACAUUGAAUAAAAAUAUAAAUAUAGGUAAAAUAUUAAAUCAUUGCUAUAAAUAUAUAAACUAAAACGUUAUUAAUAAUCAAUGUUAACAAUAUCAUUUACACAUGUUAAGUCAAAAUAAAAAGUAACUUAAGCGUUUCAAAAACGUUAUUAUAUAUAAACGCUUUUUCUAUUAUAAAUAUACCUUCUCUCUAUAUUUAAUGCAUAUAACUCAAAUAAUUAAUGAAAAUAUUUAUUGUUUAAACAUCAAAGUUGAGUUUAAAAAAAAUUCAGAACCAAAUAUUAUUUAAUAUAAUGUUGUUAUAAUAUUGUUUUCUAUUUUAUUUUUGAUAAGGGAUUGCAAACUACUAGUUCGCACGGUUACUUAACAAGAAAUUAGGCGUCAGUUGGACACAAAACCGAUAUCUAUAAUUGAUUAUACGUCGGGCGCGUCACUAAUAUGAUGUCCAUUGUAUUUAAAAAUUAAUGUUUGUGUUAUAUAUAGACAUCGACUUAGCGGGAUGAGACGUCUAGUUGGCGGAAACAAAUGACUUUUUCACCACCUAGUCAGUUUAUAUACAUCCGUUACUCAAGAACCGAACGUCUAUAAUUGUUUUUGGACGUCAUUUCGGCUUGACCUGAUGUCUAAGAGGCAGAAAAGAUUGACUACUCAUUUACCCGACAGACAUAUAGGCGUCAAGUAGCAGGUUCACCGACGUCUAUAGUCUGAAAGGUAGGGUGAACAACAAUUAAUUUCUGCCAUAUAGACGUCGUUGCCCCUCCAAACCGACGUCUAUAUUUCUGAAAAGAAAUAACUUUUCACCUAACUGUCAAACAUAUAGAUGUUAGAUGGGAGGUCUCCGACGUCAGAGAACCUUCUAACUAACGCCUGUAUGAUCAAAUUAUUUACAAAAAUGCCACCGAUCCUCAAUAUACGUCACUCUUACCCUUAACCGAUGUUUAAAGGAUGACGUUGAAUAGCAUUUUUACACUAGUGUAUAUAUAUAUAUAUAUAUAUAUAUAUAUAUAUAUAUAUAUAUAUAUAUAUAUAUAUAUAUAUAUAUAUAUAAGAAAACAUUAUUGUAAUACAUUUAUGUAUCAUCAUUUUAAGGAAAUGUUUUUCUUUCAUAAGUGAAAAUAUAUUAUAUUUAAUUAUUCUUACAUAUAUAAUUUGAGUUAUUAAUCCAAAAUUAAAUAAAAAAAUACUCAUUGAAAGUAAUAUUUUUCGUUUACUUUUGCAGGAAGUGAAUCUUCUCAUCAUUUUUACAUAUUGUUUUCAAAAUUACUAUUUUAAAUUAAUUUUUGUGUUUAAAAAUUCAUUACAUAUUAAAUAUUUUUUAAAUUAUGAAAAAUCAAUAAGUUAUUAGUUAGAUGUAAUCAAAAUAUAUUAGGAAGUUACAAAAUGUAUUUUGUGGAAUUUAAAAUAGUAAUGAGAAUUUUUUAUAUCUGGGUGGAAACUUUAAACAUAGUAUAAAAUGAAUCAGAAGCAAUAGUCGGUAGAGAGUUAAAAAAUAAAUUUUUGAGCAAAAAAAGUAAAUAGAAACUCUAUUUUUGAAUAUUUCCAUCUUCCUUUUAAAGAAAUACUUAAUUAAAUCUUGUGAGAAAAUAUAUUUGGUGAUUUCUAAGUUAAUACCAUCUGCAUUUUCUUUAUUCACAAAUUGAGUUCAAAAGGAUAUGAAGAUAAAAUUAGUGACGUGACUGGGAUUAACUUCAUUAGUUGUUAAUUUUCGGAUUUGUUAUAAUUACUUAAACUAUGUUUAAAUUGUGAAAAAUUCCGAAAGAAGUAAUAUGUUAUUUCACUAUAAAUGGUUGACCGUAAUUUUAAAAUAGGAAGGAUUCUACCUUAUCUUUUAUUAAUAAAAUAGGUCAUAUUGAAUAAGUUUUUUUCUUUAAAUUUUAAUUAUAACAGGAGUAUUUUAAAAUUCGCUUUUCAUGAAUUAAGUACAAUUUGUCAAAAUUGUGAUGGUCACCAUCACGUGUAGGACCCAAAGGCCACAUGUGGAGUACCACACAGUACAAAUUUCUUCUCUUUCAAAUUAACUUUAUCAAUAAACAAAACGUGUUUUCACAUUAUUUUAUGCAGUUAUAUUCUACUUAUGCAACAUCAAUUACUAUUGUCAAUAUUUAAUAUUUAAAAAAAAAAAUUCAACUUUUUAUGAAAUUUUAUGUCACUCAUUCUUUUCUCAUAAGUAUGUCUAAAAAAUUUCAUAUAUAAUAAACAUCGAAUUUGAAAGUUUUUACUAAAUUAUGUAUUUUAACAAUAAUAAAUUCACUCAAUAUCAAAUAAUAUAUAUUACUCAUUGCUUUGUACACUAAAUAUUAAUUAAGUAAUUCAGUAAUAAUCUAAAAACGAGUAGCAUAAUAUGUUUAAUUAGAAUACUAACUUUAUAAUGUACUAAACCCUGCAUUUAAAUUUAUAUUUAUAUACUGUAAAUAUUUAAAAGAUAUAAUCAAUUUAUUUUAAAGUAUCGAAAAAGUCUUAUAUAAUUAAAAAUAAAGAGUUAGUUUUUCUCACAAUUGUAUUCAACUAGUUUUUUAAAGAUAAAAUGAUAAUUUUAAUUAAAUUUAACAUAGUGGUAUAAGAAUAUUUUGACAGUUGAUGUCUUAAAAAAAAAAAUUGUGGUUAGAAAAAGAUUGAAGUGAUUUAGAGAGAAGGGCAGUUUGGAGAUUUGAGAAUUGAAUGAAGAAUGUUAAAGGAAAAUAAUAAAAAGGAAAAAGAAAAAAAAAAAGUCUUAAAUAGAAGGGGGGACAGGCUCACAUCAUACUGACCUGUUAAUCUAAAUAAAAACACAUCAUAGAUUAACUUCAAUGAUUAAAGGUCAAUGCAAGAGCCAUGUUGAUGUCCUGUUUCGUCAUUUUAACUCAAUCUGCCCAACUGCCACUGAAAUCCAAAACCCCAAAAAUAUCAUCAACAAAAAGCAUACUAAAGAUAAACUUCAUCUUCUUUCUUUCUCCUUCCAAAAUUAAAAUUAUUUUUUCAAAGUAAAAAAGAAAAAGCUGACUUAUAUGAGUCGGCCUUUAACUAAAUUUAGCUGCACAGACAAAACCGAGUUAUUAUUUCCAUCGUCUCUUUCUAUACCUGUUCAAAACCCUCUGCACCACUUUUAAUCAAUCUUUAUUUUCUCCCUCUGUAAUAAAACAAUAAAUAAUAAAUAAAUAAAUAAAUAAAUAAAAUACUUCCUCUAUAUACAUAUAUCUUUCUGUGCCACUUUUUUUAUUACAGUGAGAGAAAACCAGGUGCAUGAAUUUAGUAAUUUACUUUCCCCAAGAUCACAACUUUAACUAAAAAUAAAAAAAUAAACUUUAAAAACAAUCAAGGAUUCCACCUUCAAUUAAAAUAAAGUCAAGUGCAUUAAUUUUAAUAUUACUAAUCAAUUAACAGAGUUGAAUGGAUUUUCUGAGUGCAGGUUAUGGUAAUUAGUAUUAAAAUUAAAAAAUUUAACUAGUUUUUUUUUUGUGUAUUUUAUUUAUUUAUUGAAUUAUUAAAAAAGUGAAUAAAAUUAACCAUAUUUGAUGAUAUUAUUUAUGUAAAAAAUCUAAAAGUAAAAAAAGAAAACAUUUAUUGUGUUUAUUACUGACAUGUACAUACAAACAAAUUGAAUAAAGGAGGAAAAUAAUAAAAUUCUUGAGAUUAGUAUUACCAGGCAGAUCCCACCCAAAUAAAUUAAUAAAUUCACCGAACAUACACGUUCAUACACACAUCUAUGAUAAAACCCAUCAAAGAAUUCACCACCCUUUUUCUCCUCUUCUUCUCUUUUUUCCCCCACAUAUUAUUUUUUUCCUCCUCUGUAAUUGCCUAGGUUCUGUGCUGUUUUUGAAAAGAGAGAGAGAGAGAGAGAGGUAGAGGUAGAUAGAGACCACAGAAAAGAGAGAGAGAGAGAGGGGGGUGAGAAAGAGAGAGAGAGAGUCCUAUGCUGGGGGACUCAGCAGUGUUGGGAACAGGUGGAGGAGGAGGGUCUGGAGAUGCAGUGGUGGCAGCAGGAGGGGGUGCUGUUCAUGACGGUGCUGUUGACGUGGCAGGCGGUGGUGGCGGCGGUGGUGGAGGAGGAUCAAAUUCAGGGGAUGAUGAGAGGGGGAGAGUGGAGGAAGGUGACAGGAGCUUUGGUGGUAACAGAUGGCCGAGACAAGAGACUCUGGCUUUGUUGAAGAUACGGUCGGAUAUGGACGUGGCUUUCAGAGAUGCAAGUGUGAAGGGUCCUUUGUGGGAAGAGGUUUCAAGGUGAGUCAUUGAAUUCGGUCUUAAUUCUUUGGUUUUGAGGUUUUCUGUGUUCAUCACCAUAACUCGGUGCUGUGCUCACUUCAAGUUUGAUGCUUUGGAGAUCUGAAAAACUCUCAAUUAUUCUUCAAGAUUUGCUCUUUCAUCUCCUGGGAAUGUGUUUCACUUCAAUUCCGUGUUUUUUGUUUCCUUUGAGGUUUCUGCAGAGCUUUCGUUUGGAUUUGUUUAAUUCAGUUUCAGUUUUUAUGUUUGUUUCAUUCUUAAUCUCUGCCAGCUAUAGUUCUCUCUCUCUCUCUCUCAUCACCUUUUCCUGUUCCUUCUUUUAAGUUGUGUGGAAGGACUGUUUGUGAAAAGAUGUAAUUUAGAGUUGGAUAUGUGAUGUGUUUUUUUUUUUUUUUUUUUUUCUGACAUUCAUUUUGAUACAUGUUGCGUUUACCAAAUAAGUUGCCAACUUAAAUUGGGUGUUGAAAAGCAACAUUUUCUUCCACCUUGUUUCAGUUAGCCACUCUUGGUGGGAAUGAAAGAGGUAGAUUGCACAAUCUUCUAACUUGGGUUCAUGUGUUGUCCAUGGGAAGAGUUUCCGUUUCACCAAUUCAUGGUGUUUGAUAUUAUUAUUGUUAUUAUUAUUUAAUUAAAGCUUUUACUCCAGUUACAUCAUCAAUUUUGAUAUUAUUAUAUAUUCUCCUUUAAUUUCCUUCCCUUGUUUUAAGGUCUUCAGUUACUUCCUUUCCCCUCCAUUUCCGUUCAUGGGUACUUGAAAUCCUGAGAUGUUUAAUACUUUAACUUGCUUCUUUUGUAUUAUCUUAUGCUUCUUUCUUCCAUUGCCAACUAUGUGCCAUGGACUUGAUGAGAUAAGAUAACGCCACAAAGCUUGUAUUUUUACUUUGUCUUCUUUUGGGGUUAUUAUUACUAUCAGGAAGCUGGCAGAUCUUGGCUACCACAGAAAUGCCAAGAAGUGCAAAGAGAAGUUCGAGAACGUUUACAAGUACCACAAGAGAACCAAAGAAGGCCGCAGUGGGAAAUCAGAAGGCAAAACUUAUCGCUUCUUUGAUCAAUUACAAGCCCUUGAAAACAACCCUGCAAUUCAUCCUAUCCAAUCUCCACCACCACCACCAGUAACAACAACAACAGCACUACCCGCAACACCAGUGUCAAUAGUCGUAACAACCACACCCUCUUCAAUAAUGUCUCUUCCCCCGACCACAUCGUUGCCAUUGCCACCUGUGUCUAACAACACCACUGUUCCAUCCCCAACAACACUCCCUGUGCCUCAAUCCAUUCUCGCCCUCACAACCUCUUCCUUCCCAUCAUCAAACCCUACACCAUACUUCCCAACACAAACACCAAACCCUACACCCAACAACACCAACACCAAGAACCCUCUAAACACCAUCGCCCCACCUUCCUUCCCCAACAUUCCGACUGAUCUCUUGUCCAAUUCCAGCUCUUCCUCCACCUCUUCGGAGGAAACAACCACGGAGGGAGGGGGAGCGAGACGCAAGAGAAAGAGGAAGUGGAAGGACUUCUUUGAGAGACUCAUGAAGGAAGUUAUAGAGAAACAGGAGGAGCUGCAAAGGAGGUUCCUGGAGGCCAUUGAGAAGAGAGAACAAGAGCGUGUCGCGAGAGAAGAAGCGUGGAGAAUGCAAGAGAUGCAAAGGAUCAACAGGGAAAGGGAGAUUCUUGCACAGGAGAGAUCCAUUGCUGCCGCUAAAGACGCUGCUGUUAUGGCAUUUUUGCAGAAGAUGGCAGAACAUCAGCAAGAGGAAAAUAAUCUUCAACCAGCAUUGAAUACCAACAACAACAUCAUCGCUAUUACUCCACAGCAACCGAUGCCACAAGCAACUCCAACACCAACACCACAGCAAAAACAAACAACAACUGUUCCCGAGGCCCCACCAGUGCAGUCCUUGGUCCCACAGCCACAGCAACAUCAGGUGCAGCAACAACAACAACUAGUGAUGACUAAUGUGGAAACCAAUAAAGCUGCUAAUAACGGUGAGAAUUUGAUGAUGGGAGCGAGUUCUUCGCGGUGGCCAAAAGUGGAGGUACAAGCGCUGAUAGAUCUGAGAACAAACCUGGAAACAAAGUACCAGGA